UACGGGGGGGGCAAGCGUUGUUCGGAAUUACUGGGCGUAAAGGGCUCGUAGGCGGCCAACUAAGUCGGAUGUGAAAUCCCCAGGCUUAACCUGGGAACUGCAUCCGAUACUGGAUGGCUUGAAUCCGGGAGAGGGAUGCGGAAUUCCAGGUGUAGCGGUGAAAUGCGUAGAUAUCUGGAGGAACACCGGUGGCGAAGGCGGCAUCCUGGACCGGCAUUGACGCUGAGGAGCGAAAGCUAGGGGAGCGAACGGG
rnacentral:rRNA from 1 species